rnacentral:rRNA from 1 species
AUUGAACGCUGGCGGCAUGCCUUACACAUGCAAGUCGAACGGUAACGGGCCUUCGGGUGCCGACGAGUGGCGAACGGGUGAGUAAUACAUCGGAACGUGCCCGAUCGUGGGGGAUAACGAGGCGAAAGCUUUGCUAAUACCGCAUACGAUCUACGGAUGAAAGCAGGGGACCGCAAGGCCUUGCGCGGACGGAGCGGCCGAUGGCAGAUUAGGUAGUUGGUGGGAUAAAAGCUUACCAAGCCGACGAUCUGUGGCUGGUCUGAGAGGAUGAUCAGCCACACUGGGACUGAGACACGGCCCAGACCCCUACGGGAGGCAGCAGUGGGGAAUUUUGGACAAUGGGCGCAAGCCUGAUCCAGCCAUGCCGCGUGCAGGAUGAAGGCCUUCGGGUUGUAAACUGCUUUUGUACGGAACGAAAAGCCUUCUUUUAAUACAGGAGGGUCAUGACGGUACCGUAAGAAUAAGCACCGGCUAACUACGUG